CUCACUUUGCAGGUAUCCUAACAUGUAGAGGAUAGGAAACUAUUUCAGUUAUUUACAUGUAGGAUAUGAUUUAGCCUAAGGUAGUAUAUGUGAUAUGCAGAACAUUUAGUAUGAGAAAUAUUACUGUUUCAGUCUGUCCAUUAUCUGCAAACUUCCCAACAUUCACUUUUUCCACCCUUCACGCAAAAUAAUGAGGGAGUGUAUACUCCACACAAUGAAAAUACAU